rnacentral:rRNA from 1 species
UACGGAGGGUGCAAAGCGUUAUCCGGAUUCACUGGGUUUAAAGGGUGCGUAGGCGGGUUGGUAAGUCAGUGGUGAAAUCUUCAAGCUUAACUUGGAACUGCCGUUGAUACUAUCAAUCUUGAAUGUUGUUGGAGGUAAGCGGAAUAUGUCAUGUAGCGGUGAAAUGCUUAGAUAUGACAUAGAACACCGAUAGCGAAGGCAGCUUGACUACACAAUAUUGACGCUGAGGCACGAAAGCGUGGGGAUCAAACAGG